rnacentral:lncRNA from 1 species
GACUUCCGCUUCACCUCGCUAUCUUGCCCUAGAAAGGGAACUCGGAGGGGACUCACUGACGAAAGGAGCUCCAGAUGGCGGGGGGCCAACCUGGGGCGACCCCCAGCGCCCACUUUCACCAUCUGGACCCCAGCAAACCUCCCUGUGGCCCUUGGUCCCGUCUUCAGCAGCUCCUUCUGGGGUCCCACACCUUCGGAGCCCGGCCCUGCCCCUGAGUCUCUGGAGAGAGCGAGUCAGCAGUUCGCCGCCGCGGGGCUCCCGUUUGCCUAGCACGCCAGUUUCUGUCCAGUUUCACCCCAAAUCCCCACCUCCCCCCACCCCCGAACCUCACGGCCACCCUGGGAAGGAGGCUUGACUUGUGACAUCCACCCCUCUUCACGGCUGAGGAACUUUGGCCCCGAGCGAGGAAGCGACCGGCCCACGGCCACACGCCCGGAGGGGCAGCAUCUUCUACUAUGUGCAUCUACAUUGGAUGGCAGUGGAGCAACACAGAUUGUUUUCUGACAAAAAUCAGCCAAGUACUAGGAGAGGCAGGACUUUAGAAGUGGAGGAGAUGGAGAAGGAAGCUUAGGUUACUAUGGAGUGUGCAAAAAGGUCCUGUGGAUUUAGAUACCACCACACACAAAUGCUGUUGUUGGAAGGUACCUGCCCAGAUAAGGACUGCAUUUCCUCUAGCAUCCAGAUGGGACCAAAUGACUGCUGGCCAAUAGAAGUGAGUGGAAAGGACUGACUCCAGUUCCAGGUUGGGCCUCCAACUGCUCUGGGCACGUCGAUGGAACAGAACACCACCUCCACCCCAAUACCACCAAUUCAACUUUACAUGAAUUAUAAGCGAGAAAUAACUUGGACUGUGUUAAGUCAUUGAGUUUCUGGGGUUUAACUGUUAUUAUAGUUAAGAAUGACUUUAACUAAUAUAGUCAAUGACAUCUAA